AAGAAGUAUAAAAGUAAUCUUCUGAUUAAUGAAUGCUUCAUGCAUCAAAUAAUAAUUCACUGAAUAAUUAUUCAAAAAAAUUACCUUUAAAAACACAUUUCCUUAUUUUUCAAUAAGCGCUUGAGAUUUCAUCCUCAGGAUAUAUGUUUUCUAUUAAUUAUGUUUACAUUGUGGUAUAAUUGCUAUUAUCUAGUGAAGUGUUGUAUUGUAGUUCUCUUUUAUCUAAACUGUAAUAACAUAAUUUCUAUGGUUGUAAUUCUAAUUCUGGUAAUAUUAAUGUGCACGCCUAUAUAUUACUUCUGCCUUUAGCAUUACAGUAAUUCUUUGACUAAUAUAGGUGGUUUUUGAAUUACUUUAUGUCUUCUUAUCAUUGUACUUGAGACCUAGUUAAUCCCGAAAAUAACAAAAGCUGAAACAUGGUGUUUUUUGUGGCUGAAUUGUAUUUUAUUUUAUAUCUAGUGCUUAACUUUAUUUCAUCAUGCUCUUGUACUGCUGACUUAGUUGAGUUUGGGGAAUAAAAGACAAUUUCAUACCUGGACAUAAUUUUUGGACUGUUGCAAGAAAUCACCUUCAAGACAUGGGAAAGCCAGUAUUACAUCAUUCAGAAACUUGUGUUUCAUUCUAAUUUAGCAUUUUGUUUGUUUUUGAAGAUCUUGUUUUAUGUUGAUAGAAAUUAUUAGAGAGAAGGUGCUCACCAUGAUACAUCGCGGAUUUGUUCAAAGAUCUGAAAAUAAACCAGGCCCAAGCAAAGUUAGAUGAGAUAGAAGCAAUGGGUUUUGGUUUCCUGAAGCUAGUCCCAAAGUGGCCUGUUAAACAAGGCAUAAUGGUGAUGUUGGCCAAGGCCUACGACACUGAAACGAGCACCCUGAGUGUAGAUCAAGGAAUCAUCCGCAUUGGGCCCGAGCUGUUCUAGCGUGUUUUCGGAAUCCGGCCCGGUGCUGACGACUUCCCACUGUUCGAUGGCGGGAAUGCUGCCCAUGUCUCAGUAAAAAGAAGAUUUCACCGGUUAAAAACUAUUCAGCUGAGGCAUUUUUUCAACCAGUGUGCUAUAGAUACUGAAGAUGACAGGAUGGAGUUCAGGAAGCAUUUCAUCCUGCUCGUGCUGAAGAUGUUUCUGUGUCUGACCGUGCAACACGUCAUCUUGCCAUGGCAUAUCGAUACAAUACUUAAUGUAUCUGAUCCGAGGAGAUACCAUUGGCCGUUGCAUAUUUUCAAAUCGUUAGAACUGCCAAUUAGGAAGUACCAACGUAAAAAGAACAAGUCUUGUGAGAGUUGCAUGUUCGCCUUGCUGGUGUUGUACUUCCAAAAGCUAAAGCAUGGUGAACUCGAGAAUUGUCAAGAACGUGAGCCGCGGCUUUCUGCAUGGACAACUGAGGAGCUUAGCGCUAUGGCAGCAACUGUUCAACCCGAGGUGUUCAUUGACGCACUGCACGUGGCUUUUUUGAAGUCCUGACAUUUAUGGUUGUGCAUUGAAUUGUUAAUUACUCUAAAUUUUCGGUAACAGGAUUGCAGCGACCCUGGCGGGAACGAUGGUAGGGUCAUGGAAGGUGCGGCAAGAGAGGACACAAUAGACACAAGUCCUGAAAGAGAAGACGUGGACCACACAAUAAGGCCUGUGGGUGCACAAAAGUAUCUGAUCGUAGAGAGGGUGUUAGAAACGGAUCAAUGCACACGGAUGCACAUGCAGUUGCAUCGGAUGGUGACGACAAUGAUGACGAGCCCAUUGCAAAGAGACUGAGCCAAAAAUAAGAUUGGACAAGGACACCUCAACCUCGUAUGACAGAAGGGGGACUAGCACGACUGGUGAGACAAACAAAACAGAGAACCCAAAAUUUCAGGGAUCCGACAUGAGGGGGGAGUUAGUAGCGCGUCAAUGCGCACAAAUGCUCAUUCAGUAGCAUCCGAAGAGGAUGACGAUGAUGACCAACCUAUUGGCAAUAGACUCCACAUCAAAACUCAACAAAGAAAAAUACCUCAGCAUCACAGAACAGAAGGAGAAACCGUCACAACCAACCUGCCAGAAACAACAAAUCAACCAACCGAGAUGGAUGAUCCUGAACCGAAAACUCCAUCAACAGCAUUGGUUGAGUAUUCAGGAGUUGAGGAAUAUUCUACUGAAUUUUUUGACA